AACGCACAUUGCGCCCCUUGGUAUUCCGGGGGGCAUGCCUGUUCGAGCGUCAUGAUAACCCUCAAGCCCAGCUUGGUGUUGGGGCCUGCCUAUCGGCAGCCCUUAAAAUCAGUGGCGGUGCUAUUUUGCUCUGAGCGUAGUAAAUCUUCUCGCUAUAGAGUCUUGGUAGCCACUUGCCAACAACCUAAACUUCUAUGGUUUGACCUCGGAUCAGGUAGGGAUACCCGCUGAACUUAA
rnacentral:misc_RNA from 1 species